rnacentral:tRNA from 1 species
CGCGGAGUGGAGCAGUUGGUAGCUCGUCGGGCUCAUAACCCGAAGGUCAGAGGUUCAAGUCCUUUCUCCGCAACCA